GAGAAUAUGAAUAUGAUGUUAGUUCAGAUCCAACGCUAUACAGGGACAUUACACAUGCAAGUACGUAUAAUACGUGCGAACGGGUGAGUAGUAAUGAGAGUACAUAAGUGCUCUUGACGGAUGUAGGUAGUAGUAACAAUAAGAGUACUAGCCAUAGACCCGUAGUCGGGGGUGGAAGCCCGAACGAUCACAUAGACCAUAAAAGGUCUACUACUAUUAGUAGCAGCAGUGGGGAAUCAUUGGCAAUGACCUAACGGUUGACCAUGUUACCUGUAUGAACUAUAUCGAUAAACAAAUUUAUAUAUUAUUAAUAUAUAUAUAUUAAUAAUAAAGAAUUAUAAUGAACGAUAUAAAUAAGUUCAACAUAUAUUAAGAAUAAUGAUCAGAUAUAUGUUUAGUCCUGACAAAGUAGGUGUGCCAGCAGUCGCGGUCAUACAUCCAGGGCAAGCGUUGGUCAUCCUUGGCAUAAAGGAUCAGUAGGCGUAAUAGAAUAUAGCAUGUAAGAUAUUAAUUUAUGAAUUAUUACUUGAGAGAUUAAAUACAAUGACAGUAAUAAGACAGCAGAUUUAGAUUAAUAAAGCAUGGACGCUGAGGGAUGAAAGCUAUGGUAGCGAAGGGGAUUCGAUACCCCCCUAGUCAUAGCUGUAAACUAUGUCCAUUCGAUUAGCAAAACUAAUGUGUAAAAUGGACCGCCAGGCUAGUACGUCCGCAAGGAUGGAAUGCAAGACAUUAGACGGUUGGGUACAAUAGCAGUGGAGCAUACUGUUUAAUUGGUCGAUACCCCUUAAACCCUACCUACUCUUGAAUAUUUUAUUAAUUUUAUUAAUAAUUUACAGGCGUUACAUUGUUGUCGUCAGUUCAUGCUUAGUGGUCUACUAUUAAGUUAGUAAAUGAACGUAACCCCUCACAAUAUAUUAUUAUUAUUAUUAUAAUAUAUAUAUAUAUUGUUGUGAAUACCUUAUUGGGUAUUGGAAGCUAGGGAUAACGACUAAUCCGCAUGACCCUUAUGAGUAGGGCUACAGGUGUGCUACAAACGUGUAUACAAUAUAUAUAUUUUAAUUAAAUAUAGAAUAUGAAAUUACAUUAUCAUGAACGUUUCUUUUAAUUGGAUUAUAUCCUGCAAUGGGUAUAUCAAAACGGAAUUGCUAGUAAUGGUGAACUAGAGUGUCACCGUGAAUAUACCAUACCCUUCGUACUAAUCACUCAUCAAUAGCACAGUAGUAUAAGAUUUAUCUAUAGUCUAAAUUAUUAUUUAAACUGGAAAUUUAUCUUAUCCCAUUUGCUAUAAGUUGAAAUACAGUUCCGGUAGGGGAACCUGCCGGGGAUUCAUUAAAUUA
rnacentral:rRNA from 1 species